rnacentral:rRNA from 1 species
UACGUAGGGGGCUAGCGUUGUCCGGAUUUAUUGGGCGUAAAGAGCGUGUAGGCGGCCAGGUAGGUCUGCUGUGAAAACUCGAGGCUCAACCUCGAGACGUCGGCGGAAACCAUCUGGCUAGAGUCCGGAAGAGGAGAGUGGAAUUCCCGGUGUAGAGGUGAAAUUCGUAGAUAUCGGGAGGAACACCAGUGGCGAAGGCGGCGACCUGGGCCAAUAUUGACGCUGAGGUGCGAAAGCGUGGGGAGCAAACAGG